rnacentral:lncRNA from 1 species
CCAUUAUCGAUGAUGUUGGCUCAGGGAAGUCUGAAUUUUACAAAUGAUUGACAUUCAGAUGAAGUUCUGUACCUUCUUUUGGUAAUUUGCACUGGAGACUCAAUCUCGAUCAUCUUCGAGAAGUAGUCAAUUACGAUGAUAAGAAAUUUUUUUAAUUCAGCUGCCUAAGGAAAAGGACCAACAAUAUCGAUUCUUCACUAUGCAAAUGGCCAAGUUGCGG